CAGCUCACCCAUUGUCCAGUCAUUAACCACGAUCAAGGAGAUUUCUGUUUUCUCCUACUUUUAGAGUGAGCACUGGAAGGAAUCUCUCUCACACACACACCACCCCCGCCAUAUCUUUUUCUGAGAGAUGGAAGGAAGAGAAGAAGGAAGAAGAGAUCUUUGACCUGCUGGGAGGAGCAGCAUCUUGCCAUGAGGAGGGUGUAAUUAUCCCACACCCAGUCCACACUCCCAACUCCCAGAUACCGUCUAGAGGAGGGACACCCACAGCCAAAGGGGCGCGCGAGGAUGAGCUGGAGUGCUUCCAUAAAGAGACACGUCUCUCAUCUACAGCUUAGAUGCGCAGUGGUCCAAGGUACAAAUGGAGUCCGCCUACACUCUGACAGCCAUGAACCGAUUCCAAGGACAUUGCUGUGCGCUGAGAAGCUGACACAGAGCAGAAUAAAGCACGAAGAUGACCAAACACAGACCGCCUGGUUUAUCCACAUAGCUGACUCUUCUGGAAUACCCUGCAUCUCAUUGCAGUGGAAGAUCAGGAAAUGAGAAAAACCUUAAUCUCAAAACUGGACGCAUCUACUCGAAUCAAGGAAGUCAGUCUCAUUUGAGAACAGCGCUCCCAGGCUCCCCAUCCACACUCGAAAGCUACACAAUGGCUUUUCCAAUCACAAGUCAAAUAAGCAUCUAAAGUUAAAGCCAUAAAGCCAUGAAAUAAAGCAUCAGGGAAUAACCCCA
rnacentral:lncRNA from 1 species